UGUCUCUGUACCAUGCUCCCUCGCGGUUCCCACAAUGCCCAGCACAGGAACCGCGAGGGAGCAUGGUACAGAGACA